rnacentral:lncRNA from 1 species
CCCUUGGUGCUACCAAGCUUCUCAGACCCUUUUCGGAAAUCAUUGAUUCUUUGGGGAUAAAAGACCCUUUUAUACGAAAUUGGCUGGAUCUCCUGGCCUUCUUGCUUGCCGGGGUCAAAACUAACGGCAUACUCUCAGCAGAAAUGGUAAUUAUGGAACAUGCAUAUUACCUUAUAGAGAUAUUUCUUGGAAGUUAAUGUUGUUUGCAUAUAUCAGAAAGCCUUCUUGCUUGCCGGGGUAAAAACUAACGGCAUACUCUCAGCAGAAAUGGUAAUUAUGGGACAUGCAUAUUACCUUAUAGAGAUAUUUCUUGGAAGUUAAUUUUGUUUGCGUCUAUCAAAAAAAAUUGCUUGAUCUUUGCUCAAGUGUCUCAUAAUCAUGCGUGUUGCUUCCUCCGUGAUGUUAUUUGUAAAAAUAUGGUGACAAGUAGCUGUUUUUUCUCUUAGUAUUUUAGAAUUCAUCAGUUGCACUAUAGGCAUUAAAUACUGCAUUCUACUUCUACAGGAGGACCUCACACACUAAUAUGGUGACAAGCUAGCUGUUUUUUCUCUUAGGAUUUUAGAAUACAUCAGUUGCACUAUAGACAUUAAAUACUGCAUUCUACUUCUACAUGAGGACCUCACACACUAAUAUUGGAAUCCGGAAUUUUACCUUUUAGAUUAAUAUGCUAAUUUUGGUUUUGCG